AGAGUUUGAUCCUGGCUCAGGAUGAACGCUGGCGGCGUGCCUAAUACAUGCAAGUCGAACGCUUCACUUCGGUGAAGAGUGGCGAACGGGUGAGUAAUACAUAAGUAACCUGGCAUCUACAGGGGGAUAACUGAUGGAAACGUCAGCUAAGACCGCAUAGGUGUAGAGAUCGCAUGAACUCUAUAUGAAAAGUGCUACGGGACUGGUAGAUGAUGGACUUAUGGCGCAUUAGCUUGUUGGUAGGGUAACGGCCUACCAAGGCGACGAUGCGUAGCCGACCUGAGAGGGUGACCGGCCACACUGGGACUGAGACACGGCCCAGACUCCUACGGGAGGCAGCAGUAGGGAAUUUUCGGCAAUGGGGAAACCCUGACCGAGCAACGCCGCGUGAAGGAAGAAGUAAUUCGUUAUGUAAACUUCUGUCAUAGAGGAAGAACGGCGGAUAUAGGGAAUGAUAUCCAAGUGACGGUACUCUAUAAGAAAGCCACGGCUAACUACGUGCCAGCAGCCGCGGUAAUACGUAGGUGGCGAGCGUUAUCCGGAAUUAUUGGGCGUAAAGAGGGAGCAGGCGGCACUAAGGGUCUGUGGUGAAAGAUCGAAGCUUAACUUCGGUAAGCCAUGGAAACCGUAGAGCUAGAGUGUGUGAGAGGAUCGUGGAAUUCCAUGUGUAGCGGUGAAAUGCGUAGAUAUAUGGAGGAACACCAGUGGCGAAGGCGACGAUCUGGCGCAUAACUGACGCUCAGUCCCGAAAGCGUGGGGAGCAAAUAGGAUUAGAUACCCUAGUAGUCCACGCCGUAAACGAUGAGUACUAAGUGUUGGGUGUCAAAGCUCAGUGCUGCAGUUAACGCAAUAAGUACUCCGCCUGAGUAGUACGUUCGCAAGAAUGAAACUCAAAGGAAUUGACGGGGGCCCGCACAAGCGGUGGAGCAUGUGGUUUAAUUCGAAGCAACGCGAAGAACCUUACCAGGUCUUGACAUCGAUCUAAAGGCUCCAGAGAUGGAGAGAUAGCUAUAGAGAAGACAGGUGGUGCAUGGUUGUCGUCAGCUCGUGUCGUGAGAUGUUGGGUCAAGUCCCGCAACGAGCGCAACCCCUGUUGCCAGUUGCCAGCAUUAAGUUGGGGACUCUGGCGAGACUGCCGGUGACAAGCCGGAGGAAGGCGGGGAUGACGUCAAAUCAUCAUGCCCCUUAUGACCUGGGCUACACACGUGCUACAAUGGACAGAGCAGAGGGAAGCGAAGCCGCGAGGUGGAGCGAUACCCAUAAAACUGUUCUCAGUUCGGACUGCAGUCUGCAACUCGACUGCACGAAGAUGGAAUCGCUAGUAAUCGCGAAUCAGCAUGUCGCGGUGAAUACGUUCUCGGGCCUUGUACACACCGCCCGUCACACCAUGAGAGUCGGUAACACCCGAAGCCGGUGGCCUAACCGCAAGGAAGGAGCUGUCUAAGGUGGGACUGAUGAUUGGGGUGAAGUCGUAACAAGGUA
rnacentral:rRNA from 1 species